rnacentral:misc_RNA from 1 species
AACGCACAUUGCGCCCUUUGGCAUUCCGAGGGGCAUGCCUGUUCGAGUGUCAGUUGACAAGCUCAAGCCCUCGUUUUGGCGGGGGCUUGGUGUUGGGCAAUUCGCCUCCCCCCCCCCAGCUGGUAGGUUAGGGUGGAUUUGGCGGGCCUGAAAAUCAGCGGCAGCGGGCGGACUGGCUCAAGCACAGUAGGCGUUUUUCUCGUGCUUUGGAGCGCAGUCGGCAGCUAGCCCAACGGCGCGAUAGACAUUCCGAGCGACCUCGAAUCAGGUAGGGAUACCCGCUGAACUUAA